GCCCGUUUGGCUCAGUGCAUAGAGCGUUGGCCUGUGGACUCAAGGGUCGCAGGUUCGAUUCCGGUCAAGGGCA
rnacentral:tRNA from 1 species